AAGGAGGCCCUGGAAAAUAUGGAAAAACUUAGGAUAUUAUGCAUAUGGUCCCAAGAUUGCUCCCCUUGCCAUGAUGGCUCCAUUGAGUACUUGCCCAACAACUUGUGUUGGUUUGUCUGGAAUCACUUUCCUUGGGAGUCAUUGCCAGAAAAUUUUGAACCCAAAAGGCUUGUUCAUUUUCAACUCCGCUUCAGUUCACUGCGUCAUUUAUGGAUGGGAAUAAAGCAGUUUCCGUAUCUAAGGAUCCUAGAUCUCAG
rnacentral:misc_RNA from 1 species